rnacentral:lncRNA from 9 species
UGUCUCCAAUAUCCAGGGUUUCUGAUGGCGCCAGUGUCAAGGUCUUCCAGUGACUCCAGGUCUUCCAGCAAUUCCAAGUCUUCCAACAACAUCAAGGUCUUCCAGCUAACCCAGUCUUCCAGAAAUCUAUGUCUUCCGGACAAUCCAUGUCUUCCAGGAAAUCCAGUCUUCCAGCAAUUAUAUGUCUUCCACAAAAUCCAUAGCUUCCAGGAAAAUCCACGUCUUCCAGAAAAUCCAUGUCUUCCAACAAUUUCAAGGUCUUCCAGCCAAUCCACGUCUUCCAGAAAAUCCAUGUCUUCCAACAAACCUGUGUCUUCCAGAAAAUCCAUGUCUUCCCACAAAACCAUGUCUUCCAGAAAAUCCACGUCUUCCAAGAAGGGUGCGUCUUCCGGAAAAUCCACGUCUUCCAACAAAGGGUGCGUCUUCCGGAAAAUCCACGUCUUCCAACAAAGGGUGCGUCUUCCGGAAAAUCCACGUCUUCCAACAAAGGGUGCGUCUUCCGGAAAAUCCACGUCUUCCAACAAAGGGUGCGUCUUCCGGAAAAUCCACGUCUUCCAACAAAGGGUGCGUCUUCCGGAAAAUCCACGUCUUCCAACAAGGUGCGUCUUCCAACAAAGGGUGCGUCUUCCAGAAAAUCCAUGUCUUCCAACAGUGCCAUGUCUUCCAGAAAAUCCAUGUCUUCCUACACCUCCAGGUCUUCCAGCAUCUCCAGGGCUUCCAGCAUCUGCUCGUCUUCCAGCAUCUCCUCGUCUUCCAGCAUCUCCUCGUCUUCCAGCAUCUCCACGUCUUCCAGCAUCUUCAUGUCUUCCAACAACAACUCAGUCUUCCAAAAGUAGGCUCAAUAUCCACGUCUUCCAAUGUCUCCAGUGUACUGGUCUUCUAACAUUCAGGUCUUCUGGUGUCUACGAUAUCCAGGUCCCCAGUGCCACAGGCCCCUAACAGGAAGGCAGGGCUGGACUCUUGGCCCAGAUUGGGGGCAGUGAUGACAGGAGCAAAAGCAACAAUAGUGAUGGCAGUGGCUGUGGAUCAGGAGGAGAGAUUGGACUGCACAUGGGGCUGAGUCCCCUGGUGGCGUAGCAGUUAAGAAUUUGGCAUUGACACUGCUGUGACACGCACUCAAUCCCUGGGCCGGGAACUUCUGCAUGCGAUGGAUGCGGCCAAAAAAUGUGGUGUGUGUGUGUGUGUACGUAUACAGGCUGAAUCUUACAAUCUGCAAUUCUUAGGCUGGCCAACAUUUUGCUGCCAUCUGGGUUCUGCCAACAGGCCAACCAACGGGAUCUUAAACCCAGGAGUAUGGAACAGCCAGUUUUUUUCCUUCUUCCUCUGCAUCAAGUAAUCUCCCCCACAAUGGCUACAUAUUUUCCAUGGCUCCAUCCCUGUCAGUUUGAUCUAACACGCAGGCUCCAGUAAUGCUAUCUCUUCUCUUUGCCCUUCCAACCAGAGGUAGGAAUGACUUCUUUAUGUUGCGAAUUAUUGGGUCCCCCAACUGUCCCCUGUUUAGCUUCUCCAUUACUUUUAUAACCAAUUUUCUGCAUUAAAUAUUUACCAUGAUUUA